rnacentral:rRNA from 1 species
GAUGAACGCUGGCGGCGUGCCUAAUACAUGCAAGUCGAGCGAACAGACGAGGAGCUUGCUCCUCUGACGUUAGCGGCGGACGGGUGAGUAACACGUGGAUAACCUACCUAUAAUACUGGGAUAACUUCGGGAAACCGGAGCUAAUACCGGAUAAUAUAUUGAACCGCAUGGUUCAAUAGUGAAAGACGGUUUUGCUGUCACUUAUAGAUGGAUCCGCGCCGCAUUAGCUAGUUGGUAAGGUAACGGCUUACCAAGGCGACGAUGCGUAGCCGACGUGAGAGGGUGAUCGGCCACACUGGAACUGAGACACGGUCCAGACUCCUACGGGAGGCAGCAGUAGGGAAUCUUCCGCAAUGGGCGAAAGCCUGACGGAGCAACGCCGCGUGAGUGAUGAAGGUCUUCGGAUCGUAAAACUCUGUUAUUAGGGAAGAACAAAUGUGUAAGUAACUAUGCACGUCUUGACGGUACCUAAUCAGAAAGCCACGGCUAACUACGUG